rnacentral:rRNA from 1 species
GACGAACGCUGGCGGCGUGCCUAAUACAUGCAAGUUGAGCGCUGAAGGUUGGUACUUGUACCAACUGGAUGAGCAGCGAACGGGUGAGUAACGCGUGGGGAAUCUGCCUUUGAGCGGGGGACAACAUUUGGAAACGAAUGCUAAUACCGCAUAAAAACUUUAAACACAAGUUUUAAGUUUGAAAGAUGCAAUUGCAUCACUCAAAGAUGAUCCCGCGUUGUAUUAGCUAGUUGGUGAGGUAAAGGCUCACCAAGGCGAUGAUACAUAGCCGACCUGAGAGGGGGAUCGGCCACAUUGGGACUGAGACACGGCCCAAACUCCUACGGGAGGCAGCAGUAGGGAAUCUUCGGCAAUGGACGAAAGUCUGACCGAGCAACGCCGCGUGAGUGAAGAAGGUUUUCGGAUCGUAAAACUCUGUUGGUAGAGAAGAACGUUGGUGAGAGUGGAAAGCUCAUAAAGUGACGGUAACUACCCAGAAAGGGACGGCUAACUACGUG